UGUGGAUAUAUGAAAAACACUUUAAGUGAAUAAGGAUAUAAUAAAAUCCCCUGAAAAUCCUCCUAUUCCGGAGGGUUGUAAUUACUUAAUUAGUGCAGUUUCCAUUAAAGGAUUUUGAAUUUUUACAUUUGGUUUUUACUCAAAUAUAGGGAUCUUGGAAACUUAAUGAUUGAAAGACUUCAUCCAUAAAAGAAAGAAUGUUUUAAAAACUUUUGCUAACAGGGCCAAACUAAAUAUUGAUGGUGAAAAUUAGAUGAUUACAAUGUCAGCAGCUUCUGAUUAAGUGCUAUUAAGAAAUUUGCAAGAAGGUCAACUGUUAAAUUAGUCAUUCAAAAUGCUUGUCUUAAAGCAAACAUACUGACUGCUUACUGUUGAAUGCUCAUUUACCUAAUAGACCUGCUUUAUUUAGGUCAGUUUGGGGUGAGAAGGAGAUGCACAACUAAAGUUGAAAAGAACAAAGAUCUGCCUUCAGCCAAAGAAAGAUCAGAUGACGAGGUACCAGUGGCCAUUGAAGUCUCUGGAAACUCUAACACAACUAAAGAGCGAUCACAAACAAAGAGACAGAAGUGGAGCCAAGAAGAAGUCCAGGCAGUGGAGAAAACGCUCAUGGACUGUAUCAACUUUGGAACUGUUCCUCGGAAAGCCGAGUGUAUGAAGUGCAUUGAAGCCUCACCAGUGGCCCUCAAAAACAGGACAUGGCAAGCAGUUAAAUUCUAUGUGAAAAACCGCAUAGACGCAUUAAAACGAAAAACUUUCAAAAGAAGGUAAGCGUUGACCUUUUAUUACUACCCUUUUAUUAAACGGGCCAUUUGUUAGUGCCACAUCCAAGCUGCUUCUGUUUGGAGUUUUGAAUUUUUAGGACAGUUGCAGUCAAGGCCAAGUCAACUAAAA